rnacentral:rRNA from 1 species
UACGGAGGAGGCAAGCGUUAUCCGGAAUUAUUGGGCGUAAAGCGUCCGCAGGUGGCUAGUCAAGUCGGUGGUCAAAGCACAGGGCUCAACUCUGUAAAGGCCGGCGAAACUGACAGGCUAGAGUGCGGUAGGGGCAGAGGGAAUUCCCGGUGUAGCGGUGAAAUGCGUAGAUAUCGGGAAGAACACCAGUAGCGAAAGCGCUCUGCUGGACCGCAACUGACACUCAGGGACGAAAGCUAGGGGAGCGAAUGGG